UGGGAAUAUUGUGAAAAUUUAUGGCAAGAUGAAUGCAGCAUGUUAUAAGAAAAUACUGGCAGACAAUUUGCAUUAUUCUGCACGACGGCUGUGCAUGGGACUCUUUGACUUUCCAGCAUGACAAUGACCCCAAGCACAAGGCCAAGUUGACCCUCCUGUGGUUACAGCAGAAAAAGGUAAAGGUUCGGGAGUGGCCAUCACAGUCUCCUGACCUUAAUAUCAUUGAGCCACUCUGGGGAGAUCUCAAACAUGG